AGAAUAAACCUAUUAAAAGUAUAAUCUUGGAAAGUCUUUUUAAUUCUAAAAUACUUGAAUGAUUUUAUUAUAAGUCUAAUACAACUGUAAAAAUUGAAAGAGAAUUUUUAUAACCAAACGAAUGUAUUAUUGCUAUUCCAUUUUAUGUAUCAAGAUAAUGUAUGUUUAGGCACAAAACAUUUUCAUGCGAAUACAAGAAUUUCACCAAAUGUCAUAAAACUUCAAAUAAAUGGUAGGAAUGUAUGACUUUACAAUGAAUGCCAUGGAAAAUGUCAACCAUUUAUGGGUUAUAUAGCAAUACAUCAAGUAUAAGUAGAAAAAAUACGUGUUUAUUUAAAUUUAAUACUAUUGAUAAGACACGAAGUCGAAAUAAUUUUUAUAACUUACAAUCUAUAUAAAAAGUUAAUAUAUUAGUUAAAAAUUAUAACGAUGAAUUGCUCGAGAGGAAGCACACGUUAGAUUUGCCUGAAAAUUAUUAAUUAUUUAUCAAUAUGUUUAUUAAUUAUUAAUCGCAUCAUAGAAAAUCAAUAGUUUUAGUUAAGUGUAAUAACAAAUCGAAAUAAUAGAAAAAUAAAUUUCAAUAUUCAUUAAAAACAAUUAAAAAAGUGUUGUUAUUUUUUUUUCAAUAACAGAAUUUUUUUAAUUAAGGCACGUCUUAGUUGUAGGAAAAAUUGAUGUUUUUUCAUAUAAACUCUUAAUGUUAGUGUUAAAAACAAGGUAAAAAAAUAGGUUGAUAUCUGAGAAAGUUGUACUUACAUAAUUCUUAAUAAUGAUUAUUUUAUUGUGUUAAGAAAAAAUGAUAUAAUAUUUAAGACUCAAAAUAUGACUUAUGAAGUAACCCAUUAAAAUAGUGAAGAAGGUUAUGACUUUAAGAGUAGUGAUCUGCCAUCAAGGUGAACAUCAAUUUUACUUGGACAAUGCGUAUGGCAGGGAUUAUUUGAAAAAUACAACAAAAAAUAUUUUUCUUAAAGCCACUCAAAAGCAUUAUGUGGUAGUUUAUUCGUCAUAGAAAAAUAUAGUAACAUUUUAUAGUAUAAUACCUCCUCAGAUUCUAAAUGUAUAUAAUAAUUUUAAUCAUUAUCUAAGUGUAUACAAAACAAUUAAUUAGUGUUUAUGUAAUUCAUUAAAAACUUAUAAAUUAAUUUAAUUAUUAAUUAAUUAAAUUAUCUAAACUAAGACAAAUAAUGUUUUGUCAAAAUUUCUCAUUAUAAAUGAUGAAACAAUUCUCUUUUGUUUUUUCAAAAUUAAAUUGAAUAUAAGUCAAUUAUGUCAAGAAGCCUCGCUUCUUUUUUUUUAUCACAUUAUUUCGGUAUUAUUUUUAAUUAAGACUAUAAAGCGUUAAUUGUUAUUUUCAUUAUCGAAAAAAGACAAUUACAAUAAACGGUUUAACUUUUUUUUUGCUAAAAAGGGGUAAUGAUCAAUCGAGUUUUACACAGUUAAUUUCAUUAACCUCACCUUAUUAGUCAACCAAUUCCAUGAAUUUUUAAUUUAAAAAUACAAAAGUAAAAAACAUUUAAUUUCGUUAAUAAAACGAUAUUUAAACUAUUUGCUUUGUAAAAAAUUGAAAAAGGAUUGUUUUUCAGGAAUUUUAAUUAUGUAGAUAAUUAAAAUACAUUUGAAGUUGAAUUAAAAAAAACUAUAGAACUGUCAUUUAAACAUUUAAAUUUAUGUAUGUGAAUAAUGUUCUAAAAUCGAAGUUAACAUUUCAAUUUAUAAUAUUUUAGUUUCGAUGCAAAGCUGAGAAGUAUUAAUUUUAUUACAAUGUGUUUAUUUAUUUUUUAUUUGUGUCUGUUACAAUUAUUUCUCAACUCUCACUAAACGGAUUUAUUUCAACAACAUAACAAAAGAUCACAAAUAGUAUCUAGUCAAAGAAAUAACCCUCAACAAUUGAAAAAAUUUCUUUUUUUUACUUUUUACAUUUUGAACACUACAUUAACAACCCUUAAAUGGAGGACAUUCUCAAAAUAAUACACGAAUCAAAAUAUAUUUACUUCUAAAGAUACCGUAAAUAAUUUUCUGUCAUUUGGUAUACUUUUUCUUAUAAUUCAACUCUUUACCUGAUAACAAGAGGGAAUUCAAAAUUAUAACUUUACACAAAAAACUAAUAUUUUAACUUAACUUUUGAUAAUUAUACGGAAAUAUUGACACUGUUUUGUAUAUUUUAAAUUAAAGCUUAUGUAAUACACUUCAAUUUAAAUCAAAAACUUAGUCCCCGCAUCUUAUCUUUGUAAUGAAAACAAACAUCAAAUUAAAAAAAAAAAUACGUUUUUUUGUUGAAAUUCUGGAUUUAAUAUUUUUAAAUUUAUAUUGCUUUAACUUUUUGAAAAAUACCUAAAUAAAACGAAUGUGCACUACUAUAUUGGUAUAAUCCCACUUCCUUGACAAUUCCACAUGCAGGUUUAAAAGAAACUGGAACGUGACCUAAUAACAUAUAAUCAAAAAAAAAAAUUUUUACCGGGGUGUUACUAAUGGUUGAUUACCUGACAUGUUUUUUACUCAAAGAUGUACAUUCACUCGACAAUAUAACAAUAAAAAUUAUUGUUAUAUUGUAAAGAUUGUUUCGCUAAUAAAGAGGUAAAAUAAACACCUCAUAUUUAUACACUUUAUGACGAUUUAAAUAAUGGUAUUUUUCAAAUUGAUACGCGUUGAGGAACUUAUUUGAUUGCUAAAUAAGUGAAGUAAAUUUACGAUAAAAGCUCAAAAUUUCGUUAAAUCACUAUUUAUAGAAUUAAAAAAAUUCAAUAAAAAUUAUAGUGAUCAUUUUUGUGAAACACUUGGUGUUAUGUAAAAUGGAUAUUCAGAAAUAUUCCGUGCCUAGUUUCAACUUUGAUUUCAUCUGCUGUCGUGUUGUUGAAUUAAAUUUAAUCUACAAUUUUUUUAUACGUAAAUACUAGUGUUUUACUAAUUAGUUAUCAUCUUAAAAAUUAUAGGUGGUACAAAAAAUAUAAUUUCAUAUUCAAAAUCAGUGAAAAAAAUUUAUUUGACUCUAAUGAAAACUCGAUGUAGACCAGUGUAUUUCAUAAUUAAUAAACAUUUAUUUUCUGAAAAGUUUUACAUGAAGCUUUUCAAUUUUUAUAUACGUUUGCUAUUAAAAUAACAAAAAAUACAACUACUUCAUUAUUUUUUACAAUUUAUCCGUAAAAAUUACAAUAUUUAAAUUAUUGAUUAUCAAUUUCAUAAUAAAUUUAAUUACUAUAAUUAGUAUUUCAUUAAUAAUGUAUUCAUAUAUUAUACGUAUGUACAAAGACUACUACUAAUCAGAAUAUAAUUGAGGAAAUAGGAACAGAUGUUGCUUUUGAAAUAAUUCACCAAUUUCUCAAAUGCAAACAUUAUCUACAAAUUCGUAUCCAAGUGCUUUUUAUAAUAGUGAUUUUUAUUACUUUCGGAUAUCAACUAUACUUGUUCUAACUAUUCUACAUUUACACUGUGCCGCCACCCUAACUGUGCUUCCGUUUUUCAUUAUUCAAAAUGGAAUGAAAAAAUCUAAGGUUAUUUUCUAGAGGCAGAUUAUUUAAUUUUAUAGAACCUACAUUUUAUUAUUAUAAUUUAUCAAUCAAACAUGUGUAGGGUAUAAUUACCAGUAUAUAAUCACCAAAUAAUCUGAUUACGGCAAAUAGUAGUUAAUAUAUAGCUUAUAUGUAAUAUAAGGAGUAAUUAUUUAUAUCAAAGAAAAUAUCUUAAUGUAGCCCAAUCAUUUGAAAAUUCUGAUUUUUAACAUGAAAUAAUAUAUUAAAAGUAAUGUUAAAAUUAAUAAUAAUUAUAUCUAGAGGAUGUUAUAAAUGACUUUUAAGAAGUAGACGAAAUUAUAAAUAAAAAAAUCGUAGUAUAAUAAAUUUGGAAAUCCUUUACCAACCCAUAGGUGCGCAUUAAAUGGUUUUAAACAUCACUGAGUAAUAAAUUAACAACCCUAUAUUUUUUUUUUGUUAAUUUUUCCAUUAACUAUUAACAAAAAGGCCAUUAUUAUAUUUAGCAGCCUCAAGAUAUAAAAUAUGUGCGAACAUAUAAUUUUCCUCAAUAUUUUAAAAUUACAUACAUAUUUUAAACAGAAUACCUUUCUUUAUUAUAAAUAUUAUCUGAACCAAUAAAUAAUUAAAAUAUAAAAUGUAAUUUAUAAUGCGCUAUGUACUAUUUUAUUACACUAUUUAGAAAAAGGUACAAUCGAUGGAGGCGAUCAUUUAUCCCGCGCAAGAAAUAACCGCCAUUGAAUGAUGAAGAAUUUUUCAGCAGAAAAAAAUAUAAAUUAAGGUAGGAUUUAAAAAAAUAAAUCUUUACCUAUUAUUAACUGUUUAUUCACCGAUAAAGCUACCCUACUACUCAUAAUUAGUUUUCAUGAAAUAUUAAUAAUAAGUCAACAAGCUUCAAAUGAAUUAAUUUCAUUGAAUACAACUUCAAGUAUGUUUAUCUAGAAAUUAUUGACAACAAAUGCAAUCAAGAACGCAAUAUACUUUAUAAUUUGACGGAGCAUCAGUACUAUUGUUAUUCCACUAGUAUAGCCGAUAAAAUAAGUGUACCUAUAAAUAAUGAAAAACAUCACUUCAAUUCAAAUGAAUAUACAGUUAGCAAUUUAUGAACCGAUUAAAAUAAGUUUAGAAGAAAAAAACGUUCAUUUGUUUAACUCUUCUUUCUCAUAACUUUUUUGUUGAAUGAUACGACGUCGUUGGAUAUUCGUGAAAUAGUUUUUGGAAAAAUUACGUUUGGCUAAACGUUUGGCAUUAAGUUAUUAUAAAGAAAAAUUUUAAAAAGUCAAGAAGAUUUAUUUGGAUUUAGUUUUAACCCUUAAAAUAUAGCUAAAAUGAAUUAAGAUAAUUAAAAUUUAUCAUUUUGUAGUCCAUAUAUAUUUACUGCUGUUUGAUAUAUUUUUCACUUAGAUUAGAUUAGUGCUGUAUGAAUUGUAUUUCAUUAAGUUUUUAUUGAAUAAUUACGCACAUAGAAAUAAUAUUUUUGUACCUUCCUCGUAUACUAUUGCAUUUUUGUACCAUAAUAGCUCCUAUUUAAGUUAGCCUCUUAUUUUAUUUAUUAUUAUUCUAGAAUAGUGUAACAGUAAUUUCCACGUCUUAAGUUGGCACUGAGAUUGGUACAUCUCAGUCAUUAAUGACUAGCUAACAAGUUCUUUACUCAAAGACGUGUUUCGUUGUAAUACUAUAUUCUAAAAAAUAUUACUUUUUCGAUGUUUUAAUUCUAUUAUCAAUGUUUAUAGUUGACAAAAUAAUAUGCUCUUGUGUAGAAUGUAUGGAGUAUCUCUGAACUAAAUGUCAACACAACCUUAUCGUAUGUUACCGCCUACAAAGCAACCCCCAUAGUUUCAAAUUAAUAGAGCCACGGCAAGUUUAUCGAUGUCACAAUGCUGGUUACGUUUCAUAGCCAGAUUUUUAGGUAAAACUUCUACUAGAAUUUCCAGUUAAGUAUUACCAGCUACGGCUCCUAGAAAUGUCUUAGUAUAAUUAUAAAAUUAAAUCAAAAAUUUUACUGCAAAAGUAAUAACAAUAACAAAAAACGUGAUUAUUUAAUUAAAAAUUAUUGUAGCGUUAUGACUUCAAAAUAUAGUAUAUGUAUUUGGUUUGAUAAAAUUUCAUUAAUCAUUGUCAUUGUAUAGUCUUCAAAAACCGGAAGCUUAAAUCGUGCACGUAUUUUAUAUAAUACCUUAUAUCACCAGUAGAAAUUUUCCUAGAUAGAUUUAGUAUUAAAUAAAAUUAAAACUAUAUUAAAAAUAUUAUUAAUUUAAAAAGAAAAAAAAUAUUAAACCCAAAAGCUACAAAAAUUACUGAAAAUUCGAGGAUAGUUUAGCGUAUCCGCCACUUUACCGUGAUUUUUUGUAACUUUUGAGUUUAAUAUUUUUUAGUUUUUAAAUCAAUAAUAUUUUUAAUAUAGCUUUAAUUUUAUUUAAUUAAUUAGCCACAAUUGAUAAAUUUUUAUUAAGUUGGUAUUAAAUUUAUUAUGGGAGCGGAUAUACCUUAGAUAAGGAAUUAUGUUCAAGAUCAUUCUAAAUAGUUUUCACUGGUAUUUUUCAUUUGCAUUUAUUCGUUAUUAUUAUAUGUUAUGACAACCUCAUAAAUAACACGGGUCAACAAACAAUUUUUAUUGUUUACAUUUUAUAGAUCAAUUCUAUAAGUUAAUAACAAUUUAUACAGUUGUGAUAAAAUAUUAUGUUGGAUACUUUUGUUUUUAAUAAAUAUAAUAUGAUUAAAUAAUCUUUAAUUAGCUUGUUCAAAUGGAUUUGUCAGUUAUAUGUUUCAUACUGUAUGUUUUAUUUUAGUUAAUAAUAAAAAAUAAAUAUUCCAUAAUACCAGUUAAAUGGAUUAUUUACUGUAGAAAAAUGUGUUUUUUGUAAGUGGCCAAAAAAAAAAAAAUGUCAAGAACAUAAUUAUAGAUUUUACUCAACCAAAGAAUGAUUGGCAUUCAUAUCCCAUUCAGGUUUUAUCUCAGUAUUUUGGUAAGUUUUGUGAUAAUUUUUAAAAAUUCAAGUUGAUUAUUCUGAAGUUUCUAUGAAAGAAAAGAAAUAUUUACAUCUUCAAACACCACACCAACUAAAAAAAAAGGACCAAACAGAAAAAGCAAUUGAUGAUAGUCCUAGUAAUAAGUUUACUUCCUAACUCUGUAGGAUAGUUUUAUUUCUUACUUUCUUACGCUUGAGAAAUAUACCAAGAUUUUAUUAAACGGUUUUGAAUACAUACAGAUAUAUUAAUAUUUUAAUAUUAUUGA